UCAGGACGAACGCUGGCGGCGUGCCUAACACAUGCAAGUCGAACGGACGAGGGGAGCUUGCUCCCCGAGUUAGUGGCGGACGGGUGAGUAACACGUGAGCAACCUGCCCUUCGGAGGGGGACAACAGCUGGAAACGGCUGCUAAUACCGCAUGAAACAGCGGGGAGGCAUCUCCCUGCUGUCAAAGAUUUAUCGCCGAAGGAUGGGCUCGCGUCUGAUUAGAUAGUUGGUGAGGUAACGGCCCACCAAGUCGACGAUCAGUAGCCGGACUGAGAGGUUGAACGGCCACAUUGGGACUGAGAUACGGCCCAGACUCCUACGGGAGGCAGCAGUGGGGAAUAUUGGGCAAAUGGGGGCAACCCUGACCCAGCAACGCCGCGUGAAGGAAGAAGGCUUUCGGGUUGUAAACUUCUUUGACGAGGGACGAUAGUGACGGUACCUCGAAAACAAGCCACGGCUAACUACGUGCCAGCCGCGGC
rnacentral:rRNA from 1 species